CACCUCCGGUUCUCAGACACGUUCAACCGUGGGAAAAACGAGGGAAAGGGUAGGGGUAGAAAGCAGGUGGGGAGGGGGGAGAGCGGCGCCUGGGGUAGGCGGCGGGCGGCGGCGGCGGCAACUGUGAUGGGCGCUUAGAGGAAGAAGGCUCACCACCUCUCCUCUGUACCGUGAGGCCUCCGACGAAGUCCCCUAACAGGAUGGCGCCUGCUGCCCGGCCGUACAACCCCGUAGCAAAAGGUGCCUCCGACCCCUCUGAUAGGCGCGUUGGGACAAAGGACCACUACCGUAGCCCGGACUCUAGCGGCUCAGCCAGUUCGUCCAUAAGUUACAACGUCCACAUGGCUAUCUUACCCUUCUUGUAAUACAACCAUGCCUUCAACUAGGGUCUUGUCUCUCGAAAAACUGUACCCUCUCGGACCUCAGCCACGCAUCUUUGUUUCAACCGAACUUUCCAGGAUACCGAUGUGGAUAACCUUUUCCGGUGGCAAGAAACUUAGAAUGUAAUUCCUUUCUUGAACCUGAGAUGCGGUUACAGUCUGGAACGUUGUCGGAGGGUCCGAUGUUCUGAUCUAUACUACUACACUUGGAACACUGUUAGGCACUUUUAUGACUUCCUCUCAUAUCACCGGAACUCGUAGUCCAACACUCCCCACAACACCUUUCAAACUUUUAAUAAUGGGCGGUUCGUUCAAACUCUCACCGUCUCAUACGAAAGGUAAUACGGUUUCGGUUACCGUCCCUCUCCCAGAGACGCUAUGUAUUUCGAUUAUAGUACUCCUUUUGUCUACCUGAAAAGGAGUUCACAACGGCACUUCAUCGACUCUUCAUGGGACUUUAGUGUAUACUCCUUCAGUAAUAACUGUUAACGACGUACUGUGAGCACUUCUUAGGACCAUGUAAACUACAUAAUCACUACGGUUUAGACAUACCACUGUAAUAAUCACUAGAUACACGACCAAACUAACCUCCGAACCCGAAUUGAGGGUCGACGUUGUAACCACUUCCACCGUAAACAGACCGUCUCCGACAAGUACCAAGACGUGGACUAUAGAGACCGUUCUUGGAACGUUUGGGUUGACGAGAAUACAACUCACGACAAUACUACAACGCGGUGAACGUUAAGUUACUGGUUCGUCUGGCCUAGGUGUUACGGUAGGAGGUCUGUUAACGGCUCCCCUUCAUGUCUUGGCGACUAGAACCACCCUUCAGUAGUUGCAGUCUGAUGUGUUUUCGUCAAACGCUAGUAUAGACUCGUGGUCGACGAGAAAGAGAGCUAAUAAACAGAGGGUGGAUUAAAACAACGUAUGGCCCUCGAAAUCGGACUCAUCCAUUCACCGUCCGUGGAGCUAAAGGAACCCACAACUCUGUGGCAAAUUCCGAGGACUUAUUAGGAGCGUAAGAACAGGAACCUUUUCAAAAUGGUCGUAACGUCAGUUCGACUUCUUAGCAGACAUUAUUAGUAACCGUCGUAGUCGCGUAUAUUAAACAAACAAGAUCAAGAAUCUCUUGACCUAAAACU
rnacentral:rRNA from 1 species